GUCUUUAGUUACCAUCAUUCAGUUGGGGACUCUAGAGAGACUGCCGGUGAUAAACCGGAGGAAGGUGGGGAUGACGUCAAAUCAUCAUGCCCCUUAUGGCCUGGGCUACAAACGUAAUACAAUGGCGUAUACAAAGGGAUGCGAAAGGGCGACCUGGAGCAAAACUCACAAAGUACGUCUCAGUUCAGAUUGGAGUCUGCAACUCGACUCCAUGAGGGCGGAAUCGCUAGUAAUCGCGGAUCAGCAUGCCGCGGUGAAUACGUUCUCGGGGUUU
rnacentral:rRNA from 1 species